rnacentral:rRNA from 1 species
UACGGAGGGUGCAAGCGUUAAUCGGAAUUACUGGGCGUAAAGCGCACGCAGGCGGUUUGUUAAGUCAGAUGUGAAAUCCCCGGGCUCAACCUGGGAACUGCAUCUGAUACUGGCAAGCUUGAGUCUCGUAGAGGGGGGUAGAAUUCCCUGUGUAGCGGUGAAAUGCGUAGAGAUCUGGAGGAAUACCGGUGGCGAAGGCGGCCCCCUGGACGAAGACUGACGCUCAGGUGAGAAAGCGUGGGGAGCAAACAGG